AAAUAAAAAAAAAUCGUAAAAAUAUUUCGACUUAAAAUCCACUCAUCCUCUGAAAUCCCUAUCCAAAGGGCCUAAACCCUCUCAAAUUCAUCCCCAAAAGAAUGACUCCCCGCCCUCUGAAGUUUUCUCUCAACCUUAAAUCUCUUUAUUCAAGCUGCAAUUUCUCAGCUUUUGAAGACUCACAAACAACUUUUGAAGACUUCAUACAAGUUAACAAGUUGAUUAUCAUAUUGGCAGGACGGUUAGACAAAAGGUUCCCUUAUUUUAGAAGGAUUUAGUUUUUGUUGAGGCAAAGUUUUAUAUUUUUUUUUACAUUUGGAUGUUAGUUUUUCUUUUUUCCCCUAAGGGGUUGUGUAAGAAAUAUUGUGACUUAUACCAUGAUCGUACAAUGAUACUAAUGAGACUCUUUAAGGGGUUGUAUAACCAAUAUAGUGACUUAUACUA